UACAGAGGUCUCAAGCGUUGUUCGGAUUCAUUGGGCGUAAAGGGUGCGUAGGCGGCGCGGUAAGUCGGGUGUGAAAUCUCGGAGCUUAACUCCGAAACUGCAUUCGAUACUGCCGUGCUUGAGGACUGGAGAGGAGACUGGAAUUUACGGUGUAGCGGUGAAAUGCGUAGAUAUCUGGAGGAAUACCGGUGGCGAAGGCGGGUCUCUGGACAGUUCCUGACACUGAGACACGAAGGCCAGGGGAGCAAACGGG
rnacentral:rRNA from 1 species